UACGUAGGGUGCAAGCGUUGUCCGGAAUUAUUGGGCGUAAAGAGCUCGUAGGCGGUCUGUUGCGUCGGCUGUGAAAACCCGGGGCUCAACUCCGGGCCUGCAGCCGAUACGGGCAGACUAGAGUUCGGCAGGGGAGACUGGAAUGCCUGGUGUAGCGGUGAAAUGCGCAGAUAUCAGGAGGAACACCGGUGGCGAAGGCGGGUCUCUGGGCCGAUACUGACGCUGAGGAGCGAAAGCGUGGGGAGCGAACAGG
rnacentral:rRNA from 1 species